AUACGGAGGAUCCGAGCGUUAUCCGGAUUUAUUGGGUUUAAAGGGUGCGCAGGCGGGAGAUUAAGUCGGCGGUUAAAUUUUGCAGCUCAACUGUAAAAGAGCCUUCGAUACUGGUUUCCUUGAGUGUGGAUGAAGUAGGCGGAAUUUGUGGUGUAGCGGUGAAAUGCUUAGAUAUCACGAGGAACUCCGAUUGCGCAGGCAGCUUACUAAACCACUACUGACGCUCAGGCACGAAGGCGUGGGGAUCAAACAGGAUUAGAUACCCUGGUAGUCCACGCAGUAAACGAUGAUUACUAGCUGUUUGCGAUACAAUGCAAGCGGCUGAGCGAAAGCGUUAAGUAAUCCACCUGGGGAGUACGUUCGCAAGAAUGAAACUCAAAUGAAUUGACGGGG
rnacentral:rRNA from 1 species